UCUGAGGAAAAUUUCAAACUUAGCCAGUUCCUUGUGAGUACCUCGGGCGGCAGUUCGGAGCCUAUUUUUUUGCUUUUCGUAUUCAUAGUACUGUGAUUUUGGAAACCAAUUGACGAAUUCAGUAUAGACGACUUUUGUAUUUGAAGUGUUGCAUCUGAUAUUAAAAUGAUGCUAAAGUUUGGAGUAAUACUCGUGAUCCAACUCAUCUGUAGUUACUGCGCAACAUAUGCAUAUGAUGAUGGCAGCUACCAUGCAGACAACAGGGGUCAAUAUAUACCGGAUAAUAGGGGGAGAUACUUCUCAGACAAUAGUGGUCAAUAUAUACCGGAUAAUAGCGGGAGAUACAUUCCAGACUACGAAGGAUUUUAUAAGUUUGGACCGCAUGGACCACCAGGACCAGAUGGAAAAGGACCACCAGGACCACCAGGACCACUAGGACCACCAGGCCCGCCAAAACCAGAUCAGUCAACAAGUGCUGAUUUCAAGAAGCUUGAAAAUUACUCUGGAUGAAAUUUAUAUUUUAUAAUGUAGAUUCAUGUCAAACAAUACACUUACACUUUAUUCCAAUGCUUGACAAUGAAAAUUAUAUAUAGAUUCAGUAGAUUGAAUUCCCGUUUACUAUUUUAUCACGUUCACGGCGAAGAAAGAGGAUGAAGACUGUUGGAAUGAAUUUUCUGGCAUUUUUUUUCAUUCCAUAAUUAUUCUUCACAUAGACGUGCUGAGUGUCACAUUUACUAAUAAAAAAUACAUUCGUCGAGUCUCUACCCACGCGUGUUUGGUCUCAUUGGAUAGUAGAGACCCGUAGUAACGAGGUCUGAUAUG